GGGCCCGUAGCUCAGCACGGAUCAGAGCGCCGGCCUUCGGAGCCGGUGGUCGCGGGUUCAAGUCCCGCCGGGCCCGCCA
rnacentral:tRNA from 1 species